UACGUAGGGCGCAAGCGUUGUCCGGAAUUAUUGGGCGUAAAGAGCUUGUAGGCGGCUUGUCACGUCGGGUGUGAAAGCCCGGGGCUUAACCCCGGGUCUGCAUUCGAUACGGGCUAGCUAGAGUGUGGUAGGGGAGAUCGGAAUUCCUGGUGUAGCGGUGAAAUGCGCAGAUAUCAGGAGGAACACCGGUGGCGAAGGCGGAUCUCUGGGCCAUUACUGACGCUGAGGAGCGAAAGCGUGGGGAGCGAACAGG
rnacentral:rRNA from 1 species